GACGAACGCUGGCGGCGUGCUUAACACAUGCAAGUCGAACGGUGAUGCUCCAGCUUGCUGGAGUGGAUCAGUGGCGAACGGGUGAGUAACACGUGAGCAACCUGCCCCAGACUCUGGAAUAAGCGCUGGAAACGGCGUCUAAUACUGGAUACGAAACUGGCCCGCAUGGGCAUGGUUUGGAAAGUUUUUCGGUUUGGGAUGGGCUCGCGGCCUAUCAGCUUGUUGGUGAGGUAAUGGCUCACCAAGGCGACGACGGGUAGCCGGCCUGAGAGGGCGACCGGCCACACUGGGACUGAGACACGGCCCAGACUCCUACGGGAGGCAGCAGUGGGGAAUAUUGCACAAUGGGCGAAAGCCUGAUGCAGCGACGCCGCGUGAGGGAUGACGGCCUUCGGGUUGUAAACCUCUUUCAGCAGGGAAGAGGCGAAAGUGACGGUACCUGCAGAAGAAGCACCGGCUAACUACGUGC
rnacentral:rRNA from 1 species